UGAGGAAUAUUGCGCAAUGGGCGAAAGCCUGACGCAGCGACGCCGCGUGGAGGAUGACGGCCUUCGGGUUGUAAACUCCUGUCAGUGGGGAAGAGAAUGGACGGUACCCACUGAGGAAGCUUCGGCUAACUACGUGCCAGCAGCCGCGGUAAGACGUAGGGAGCGAGCGUUGUCCGGAAUUACUGGGCGUAAAGAGCUCGUAGGCGGGAGCGUAAGUCUAAGAGGAAAUCUCAAGGCUCAACUUUGGGGCUUUCUUAGAUACUGCGUUUCUUGAGGAUAUCAGAGGAAAGUAGAAUUCCCGGUGUAGCGGUGAAAUGCGUAGAUAUCGGGAGGAAUACCAGUGGCGAAGGCGACUUUCUGGGAUAUUCCUGACGCUGAGGAGCGAAAGCGUGGGGAGCAA
rnacentral:rRNA from 1 species